rnacentral:rRNA from 1 species
AGCACCCGCGGUAAUUCCAGCUCCAAUAGCGUAUAUUAAAGUUGUUGCAGUUAAAAAGCUCGUAGUUGGAUUUCUGGUAUGGUGCGCCUGGCCCACCGUCGCAAGGCGUGUGAGUGUCGGUGUGCGCCUGCCAUUUAUCUGGGGAAUGGCACGCACUUAACUGUGCGGGUCGCGAUCCAGAUCCUUUACUUUGAAAAAAU